rnacentral:rRNA from 1 species
UACGUGAAUACGUUCCCGGACCUUGUACACACCGCCCGUCAAGCCAUGGAAGCUGGGUGUACCUAAAGUCGGUAACCGCAAGGAGCCGCCUAGGGUAAAACUAGUAACUGGGGCU